GCUGCCUGACCAGUAUCAACCCAGAGUGCAGCAGUUCUAGUUCUCAGACCUGGGCCAGAGAGGGCAAGACAAGGAGAAAAACAGAAGGCCAGAGAAAGGACAUGGGAGGGCAGGAUGGACCUUCCCAAAUUGUGCAGCAGAUGAGCUUGGUGCCCUCUCUUCAGGGGCACUGUGUGACCCCUGAAAGAAGGCAGCCAUUCAAAACCCACCCCUGCAAAGACUCACCUCUGCUUAAAGAGCAUGAAGAACUGCGGGGGUGGGGGGGGAGUAGAGUUUUACUUUUUUUUGAAAUCCAAACAGUUUUAGAGUAACCAUAGUAAGGAAGAUGAAAGUUUUAAUAAUAUAGCAACUUGCUUUCAUUAAAUAACUUAUUAUAAACCAAGCAGUAUUAGAUCCUUUAUAUUAUUUAUUUCACUUAAUUUUUAGGACAGCCAUGUCAAAUAGGCAUUUUCACCAACCCUGCUACAAAGGUGAAGAACUGAGACUUAUCCUAAGGUCCUCAGCUGUGGGAACUGAGAUUUGAGGUUGCUUCUGCCUGGUCUAGAGAGUUCAUCUUAUACCACACUCUUUGUUAGGGAUUCCCUGGUCUAGCCCCCUUAUUAGAAGUGUCAGGUUCUGAGAGAGCAGAGUGACUUGCCCGAGGUCCAUCCCCAGGUCUAAUUUUGCAGGAUUCCAGGGCAAGGUUCUUUCCAGCAGGUUCCUAGUGUCAGCUAGUGUGACAUAGAAUUUAAAGAAGAAAAGGCGGUUCAAGAUUGGCCACUUGCUAUAAUUUGAGAGACUUGUUCUUCCCUCCCUUCAUUGCUUUGUAUGCCUUUUUAGAGACGUUAUUAUCUUUGGGACCAAUAUACUUUUUCCAUGGGCAUAUUCAAGCAUGAGUGGCAGGGAGAAGAGAGAGAAACCCCAAAGUCGAAAAGUAGUGUGCCAACUUCCUCGUGAUGACUUUACAUGGGGAGCCUUUUAUGAAAUGUGGCUGCUGUGGCAUCUCACAGAUCAUCUUAUUCUUCUGGGGAGCAUCCUUCAUGUUAUUGGUGAGUAAAGUUCUGAGGCAGUAAGGCAUUUGUCCAAAGGCAACAGCUUAUAAAGGGGUUGAGCUGCCCUUAAAACUGUGUUCUGUGUCUUCUGACUUUCUGGUGACAGGGCAUACAUAGAUCUUCUAUGAAGAAGCUGGGUUUCUUUCAGUCCUUAGAGUUCCUCAUCCAGCCAUUGCUGGUUUUUGUGGUUCUUGUUGUUUGUGUGUUUUUUAUUUUAUUUUAUUUUAUUUUAUAUUUUACCUUUUGGAGAUGGAUUGUGCAAAAAUACUAAUCUUGCUCCAAGGAAAGGGGAGGAAAGAUGGAAAACUCCCAAGUGCAUUUUCUGAGUAGUAGGGGAGGGGUGAUAUUUGGGGAGGAAAGCAACCCAAAAAGCAAUCAACAACAACAAAAAUACUUUUCCUCUCAAGUCAAUCUCUCAUGGGAUCUAUAUGCUCUUCUCCAAAUAACCUUUCUAAAACCUGUGCCACACACUGAUGGGAGGGGAUUUCUUCCCAGUAAUGGCCCUGUGUCUAGUUCCAAGGCAGAGGUCAACAUCUGCAUGGAGACCAGGCUCAGCAAUUAGAAGGGGUGGGUGGGGGACAGGGGUGUGACCUCCUUUGUGCAGUGGCUCUGAGGGGAGGUUCCUUUGGGGGCUGGCCUGAGUCUGUCCACUGGAGAGCUGGUCCCCCACCCACCCUCGGGGCUUCAGCCUCACUCCUGUUCCAGUUACUCACUGUUUGCUACGACUUUCCAGGGGUAUCACAGUUUUUGAGAAGGUUCACAGCUGGUUUUACAAAAGGUGGUUCUGGGCUCCCUUUAAUUUUUCUUUUCCAAUAGCACCAUGGACAUACUCUCCCCAGAGCACAAAGGGAAGCCAUGGUCAUUUUGCUGAAAGUAGGCCUUGGUUUCCUUAUCUACAAUAGUCAUGGUCAUCUUUGCCUUUCCUCUGUCUCUCAUGUGCUACUGAAGAUCAAAGAAACAUGCAAACGUCAAUGACUCUAAAAUGCUAGACCACGCACUAGAUUAUUGGGUAGAUUAAAUUUGGAGAUUUCCCUCCCUCUUAUGGAAAAAAAAAUUUUUUAACAAAUUGUUGCUGCCCAGGAUCUCUGAAGACCUCAAGGCUGGAUGUGUGAGGGUGGGGGUAAUGGAGAGGAAGGUGCUUCCCGGGUUGAAUCAAAGCUGAGUUCUAAGCCCCUGAGAUGUGAUGUGCUGGCUUGGUUAUACUAAGCAAAUCUCUCAUUCUUUCUGAGGCUGUUUCCCAGUCUGGGAAUGGGACUCCAAAGCCUGCUUCACAGGGCUUUUGUGAAAUUUAAUGAGAAAUAAAUGUGGAUGCUGAAUAGUAAUUUGAGCACCUACUUUGUAUCUGCUACUCAACAUUAGUGACCUCAGCAUUCACACAGUGUCCUGGUGAGCUGUGCUUCACAGACCUUUAGAGUUAAGGGAAUUGAAGCCCAGAGAAGUUAAGCAACUUGCCUAAAAUCACAAAGUAAUCAGAAGGGCUGGAAUUCUGACAUUGCUCUUUUCAUUCUAAUGUCUAGGAAAUUUCCAUUGCCUUACUUUGGCUCUCAGUUGUGUAUGUGGAAAUACUCUAAAAACAGUAAGGCUCUCUGGAAAUUUCUUCCCUUUCUUUUCUCUCUUUCUUUCUAUACUAGGGAUUGGGCACAGGGGAGCUUUACCACUGAAUCACAGCCCCAGUCUUUUUAUUGUUUUUAUUUUGAAACAGGAUCUCAUUAAGUUGCCAGGUCUGGUUUCAACAUUGCAAUCCUCCUGCCUCAGCCUCCUGAAUCACUGGAUACAGGCAUACAUACACUGGCAGAUUCAUUUGUUUCAUGAGAAAACACUGGGAACCUAUGAUGUUGAAACCUUGGAAAGUAGUCUGGAGACAGAAGCCCCUGAUUCAGUAUUUUUCCUCCAUUGGAUCCCAGUUUUCCAAUCUAUAGGACAAGAGAAGACUCUCUUAGAUCAUCUCUAAAGCCCCAUUUGACUCAGCUCUGACUUGCUAAAUAUAUAUAAGUAUACAUGCAUAUGUAUAUAUGUGUAUAUACAUAUGUAUUAAAAACAUUUUUUAAAAAAGAAUGAAUUACUGUGAAAAUGUGGGGUGGGGAGUGGUAAAUUGAUACUCAUUGUGUGUCUCUAAUAUGCCAUGACCUUCUUGGUUGAUAGUCUCUGAAGGUGACUGCUCCCAAUUCCUUCCCUUUUUGUAUAUGCACACUACCCCUCACAUCAAAAAGCAAAGUCCACUUGAAUUUAAUGUAAGGGACUUGAGCAUCUGCAGAUUUGGUAUUCAUGGUGGGUCCUAGAUACUAAAGGAUGACUGUACUAACUUAUAGGCUGCUUUUUCCUAGAUCAUAGCUGUGGUGCUGUAGGAUGGGAAGUCUAUGCUGCAUGGAGAAGCCAUGUUUAGGUGCUCCAGUUGACUGCCCUAGCUAAGCUCCCCGCUGACCUCAACUAUGAGAGCCACCUUGGACAUCCAGCCCAGUUAACUUUCAGAGGACUCCAGUUCCAGCUGACUUCUGGAUGCAGCUAGGAAACUUGGCAAGCAUCAUCUGGCUGAGUCCAGGCAACCCACAGAACCGUGAGAGGUGAUCAUUAUCGUUUUUGAUUUGUGGGGGGAGGAGUACCAGGGAUUAAACU
rnacentral:lncRNA from 1 species